UGACAGUCUGGUUUUCUGUCUUCUCAUGUCUAGUUAUACUUCCUGCGUUUUCCCUUUUUCUGAUUACCCUGCCCAUUCCUAAUUUGUUGCACCUGUUCCCCAGCCCUAGUGCCACCUGUUCCUUGUUUUCUCAUUUACCCCGUGUAAUUAGUGUCUGCGUUCCAUCUGUCU